ensembl:rRNA 5S_rRNA 5S ribosomal RNA
AGCUACUAUCAUAUUACCUUGAAUGCACUCCUCAUAUGAUCUCAGAAGCUAAGCAGGGUUGGGUUUGGUUAGUACUUAGAAGGGAGAAAAUGACUGAAGAAUUUU